rnacentral:snoRNA from 1 species
CAUCCCUUGUAAUAGCGAGCAUGCCCGUUGCAUCUCCGCAAGCUGCUCGUCUACACCGGGGGAAAGAGA